GCCGUUUUAGCUCAGUAGGUAGUAGCGCUUUCUUGGUAGGGAAGAGGUCAGCAGUUCGAAUCUGCUAAUCGGCACCA
rnacentral:tRNA from 1 species